CGGAAUUUUCCAAAGGAGUAUUUAUUGGAGAAGACAAUGGGGAGAUUCUGGUUCCAAGGGCACUUUUUAUGAGAAAGCAGAGAAUGGCCUUGAUGGAAAUUCUUUAGUCUCUGAGGAGAAAGAUAGGAAGCAACUUGAGAAACUCAGCAUAGUAAAUCACCAGGACCAGAUGGUAUUCAGCCAAGGGUCCUGAAUGAGAUAAAGUGGGAAAUCCUGGCUUCAGUGACAAGGAUAUAUAGUAGAUGCUGAAAAAAUAGCAAAUAUCCCUGAAGAUUACAAAGUCAUUAAUAAGCACUUUGUAGACAGGGAGGCACAAUCCAAUCCACAGGCAUGCAGUCUGGGAUCCAUUCAACAAAUUUCUUUGCUACUGCUAUUUCCUGCCAGGACACCCUGCCUCUGCCUUCACCUCACCAUCUACCAACUGAUAGAUAAAUCACCUGAGAAAUAAUUUUUAAAAGAAGAGGAGAUCAUCUUGAAGAACUCUAAGUGGGUCCAAAUAUCUCUACCUAAAUACUGAAUUGGAAGAUGAAGGAAAAAUGAAUCAACACUUCAUGAGGCAAAAGAACCCAUGGACUCCUAAUAAAGAAUGGAACAAAAGCA
rnacentral:lncRNA from 1 species